rnacentral:rRNA from 1 species
AUAGCGUAUAUUAAAGUUGUUGCAGUUAAAAAGCUCGUAGUUGAACUUCAGACCUGGCUGGAUGGUCAGCUUUUCAGCUUGUACUGUCUGGCUGGGCCUUACUUCUUGGUGAGCUGAUGUGCCCUUUAUUGGGUGCGUCGGUGAACCAGGACCUUUACCUUGAGAAAAUUAGAGUGUUCAAAGCAGGCCUAUGCCCGAAUACAUUAGCAUGGAAUAAUAAAAUAGGACGUGCGGUUCUAUUUUGUUGGUUUCUAGAGUCGCCGUAAUGAUUAAUAGGGAUAGUUGGGGGCAUUGGUAUUGAGUCGCUAGAGGUGAAAUUCUUGGAUUGACUCAAGACCAACUAUUG